AUUGAACGCUGGCGGCAUGCCUUACACAUGCAAGUCGAACGGCAGCACGGGUGCUUGCACCUGGUGGCGAGUGGCGAACGGGUGAGUAAUACAUCGGAACAUGUCCUGUAGUGGGGGAUAGCCCGGCGAAAGCCGGAUUAAUACUGCAUACGAUUUACGGAUGAAAGCGGGGGACCUUCGGGCCUCGCGCUAUAGGGUUGGCCGAUGGCGGAUUAGCUAGUUGGUGGGGUAAAGGCCUACCAAGGCGACGAUCAGUAGCUGGUCUGAGAGGACGACCAGCCACACUGGAACUGAGACACGGCCCAGACUCCUACGGGAGGCAGCAGUGGGGAAUUUUGGACAAUGGGCGAAAGCCUGAUCCAGCAAUGCCGCGUGUGUGAAGAAGGCCUUCGGGUUGUAAAGCACUUUUGUCCGGAAAGAAAACCUUGGCCCUAAUACGGUCGGGGGAUGACGGUACCGAAAGAAUAAGCACCGGCUAACUACGUG
rnacentral:rRNA from 1 species